GAUGCAUCUACAAGCCAAGGAAUGCCAAGGAUUGCCAGCAACCACCAGAAACUAGGAAGAGGAAAGGAAGGAUAUCCCCUCGCCACUUCGAAGGGAACAUGACUGUUCUGACAUCAUAAUUGCAGACUUCUAGUCCCUUGGAAUCUGAGAAAAAAAUAUUUCUGUUGCUUUAAGCCACCCAGCCCAUUAUACUUUGUUAGGGCAGCCCUAGGAACCCAAUACAGGGGACCUCUUGUCUUACAUCAGGUGAUCACAUUUCAGGUUUCCUCUUCAUGCCAGUUGGCAGAUAAUACCAGUCAACCUCCAGGAAGGCUUUCCUCAAAAUGUCCUGCCACUUCAUUGGGAAGAGAGUGCUGGCGCUAUCUGACUGAACAACCCGGUCGGGGGUUUACCUUUCAUGUAUCCACCCGCUGUUGCCACAGAUUUCAAGUAAUUACUGCAGUGCUGCCCGGACAUGCCAAAUUCCCAGCUACUUUCCCUCAAGCAGGCAGAGAGAUCACCUCAGAUGCAGGAAACAAAGAAGCCACAUUGAGAUUGGACAUCGGAGUGUGCCUCCAGUCAGGGGAAGUCAGGAUACAUGACAACACAAGAGCAAAGUACCAGCACUGCUUGUAUUACGACAAGGUUUCUUGA
rnacentral:lncRNA from 1 species